GCCUGACUGGCUCAAAUCAGUAAAGCGUAUGACUCUCGAUCUCAGGGUCAUGAAUUCAAGCCUCAUGUUGGGCA
rnacentral:tRNA from 1 species